AUGCUUGUUUCGACAGCACAUAAAAUUGAAAUGAUACAUAGAAGAUUAGUAUGACCCCUGAGCAGGGAUUAUUCACAAAUUAGAUCCAUAUUUUU
ensembl:snRNA U6 U6 spliceosomal RNA